rnacentral:rRNA from 1 species
AUUGAACGCUGGCGGCAUGCCUUACACAUGCAAGUCGAACGGCAGCACGGGUGCUUGCCCCUGGUGGCGAGUGGCGAACGGGUGAGUAAUACAUCGGAACAUGUCCUGUAGUGGGGGAUAGCCCGGCGAAAGCCGGAUUAAUACCGCAUACGAUCUACGGAUGAAAGCGGGGGACCUUCGGGCCUCGCGCUAUAGGGUUGGCCGAUGGCUGAUUAGCUAGUUGGUGGGGUAAAGGCCUACCAAGGCGACGAUCAGUAGCUGGUCUGAGAGGACGACCAGCCACACUGGGACUGAGACACGGCCCAGACUCCUACGGGAGGCAGCAGUGGGGAAUUUUGGACAAUGGGCGAAAGCCUGAUCCAGCAAUGCCGCGUGUGUGAAGAAGGCCUUCGGGUUGUAAAGCACUUUUGUCCGGAAAGAAAUCCUUGGCCCUAAUACGGUCGGGGGAUGACGGUACCGGAUGAAUAAGCACCGGCUAACUACGUG